GACGAACGCUGGCGGCGUGCUUAACACAUGCAAGUCGAGCGGUAAGGCCCUUUCGGGGGUACACGAGCGGCGAACGGGUGAGUAACACGUGGGUGACCUGCCCUCAGCUCUGGGAUAAGCCUGGGAAACGUGGGUCUAAUACCGGAUAUGACUCCAUGACGCAUGUUGUGGGGUGGAAAGCCUUGUGCGGCUGAGGAUGGGCCCGCGGCCUAUCAGCUUGUUGGUGGGGUGAUGGCCUACCAAGGCGACGACGGGUAGCCGGCCUGAGAGGGCGACCGGCCACACUGGGACUGAGACACGGCCCAGACUCCUACGGGAGGCAGCAGUGGGGAAUCUUGCGCAAUGGGCGAAAGCCUGACGCAGCGACGCCGCGU
rnacentral:rRNA from 1 species